CAACUUUCAACAACGGAUCUCUUGGCUCUCGCAUCGAUGAAGAACGCAGCGAAAUGCGAUAAGUAAUGUGAAUUGCAGAAUUCAGUGAAUCAUCGAAUCUUUGAACGCACCUUGCGCUCCUUGGUAUUCCGAGGAGUAUGCCUGUUUGAGUGUCAUGC
rnacentral:rRNA from 1 species